ensembl:lncRNA
GCAGCGCAGCGCCAUCAAAGGUCUCCCGAAGGCAGCACGGAGCCAGCGGGUGGGGCGCCAAGAGGCUGGCACGACCCCCGGGAGGCAGGCCAGUUUCGAUUUGUUCGCCCUUGUUACCGGAAUAUUCUGUGGCAAUAAGAAGGAUGAGAUGGUUGGAUGGCAUCACUGACGUGAUGGACAAGAGUCUCAGUAAGCUUCGGGAGUUGGUGAUGGACAGGGAGGCCUGGUGUGCUGCAGUCCAUGGGGUCCCCAAGAGUCAGACACGACUGAGCGACUGAACUGAACUAAGAAGGUGCACGCUGUGGAAGGUACAUGGAGAGCCGGACGCUUACCAAGCGAGGCAGAUUCUUCAGAUUCUGCCUGCAAAAGGGGAGUCUGCCUGCAAUGCAGGAGACUCGGAUCUGAUCCCUGGGUUGGGAAAAUCCCCUGGAGGAGGAAAUGACAACCCACUGCAGUGUUCUUGCCUGGAGAAUCCCAUGGACAGAAGAGCCUGGUGGGCUACAGUCCACGGGGUCACACAGAGUCAGACACGACUGAGCGAUCUUCACUUCACUUCACUUUCCCCUCUGGGGAUCUUCCUGACCCAGGGAUCAAACCCAGGUCUCCAGCAUUCAGGCCGAUUCUUUACCGUCUGAGCCACCAGCGAAGCCCAAUGGAACCUUAUUCAGCACUGAAAAGAAAUGAGCUGUCGAGCCAUAGAGAGACGUGGAGGAAGUUUAAAUGUUGAUGAUGGAGCGGCAGAAACCUGUCUGCAAAAGGUUACACACUGUGACCCCAAACGCACGACAUCCUGGAAAAGGCAAACUCAGAAGACAGCAAAGAGGUGGGUGGCGGCCCGGGACUGGGGGCAGGGGACUAAGUGGAUGAGCGCAGAUUUUCAGGGCAGUAGAACCGCUCCAUGCGAUACCACAGUGGGUACACGUGCAAACCCACAGGGUGCUCAGCACCAGAGUGAGCCCUGAUGUAAGCUGUGGACUUUGGGUGACAAUGAUGUCAAUGUAGAUCCAACCUUGGUUAAAAGCAAGCACAGAACACCUUCCGCUGGGUGCUGGGGGACGUUGGUAACGGGAGAGGUUGUGCACGAGUGGUUAAUGCUUUUGCACUGUGGUGCUGGAGAAGACUCUUGAGACUUCUUUGGACUGCAAGGAGAGCAAACCAGUCAAUCCUAAAGGAAAUUAACCCUGAAUAUUCAUUGGAAGGACUGAAACUGAAGCUCCAAUCCUUCGGCCACCUCAUGUGAAGAGCUGACUCAUCAGAAAAGACCCUGAUGCUGGGAAAGAUGAAGGUGGGAGGAGAAGAGGAUGACAGAGGAUGAGAUGGUUGGAUGGCAUCACCGACUCAAUGGACAUGAAUUUGAGCAAACUCUGGGAGACAAUGAAG